UGGACCUUUUGGGACUGCUUCUGGAGACAUCAAGCAGGGUGAAACUGAAAUUGUUUGUAAAGUGCAAAAGAAGUCCACCAUUUGCUGUGGAGAAAUCUCAUGCACUUUGCUUCCGAGCAGCUACAAAUCUACAAAGCGACAUGGUGGCAAGUCUCGACCUUGCUGUUGAAAAAGUAGCUGGAGGAGAGAAAAGGGAGAGAGAGAGAGAGAGAGAAAGACUGAAUACAAGAAUCUGUGAAAUUGCAAUGUUUACAAGCUCACAGCUCAUUAGCUUCAACCUUACGUUUGAAAAAGCACCCUGUUUCUGCCCACUUGAACUGAUACACAAAGCUUUAACAACAGCUAUGAUUCACAGUCGGCUAGUCGGCUCCAGUCAUGCUCACAAGUGAUGUGGCACAUUCUCAGUGCCUCCAGUAUUUGCGUAAUUGAGCUUCAUUUGCUCUGCCCCCAGCCUGUGUGGAGUGCUGAAAGCAGCAGUGUCAUCCGCCCCCAACUCCUCCUCCUCCUACCUGGCUGACAGCACGCCUCACAAUGAAUAAGAGAGAAAACUAAGGAUGACAAAAGGUACACUUGAAGAUCAGGAAGAGCUUUCUGUCCUAUCCUCUGAAUCAAAGGAAAAAGAAAAUGAAGGAACAGAAUGAAAACCUUAACAUGGUUUCAUGUCUCUAAACUAUAUUACAGUAUCAUAGAAAGUAAGUAUUUAUUUGGAGUGCAUUACUUGGAAUGCAGAACCAGUUUGGUGCAGUGGAUAAGGCUCCAGGCUAGAAACCAGGAGACCAUGAGUUCUAGUCCUGCCUUAAGCACGAAGCCAGCUAGGUGACUUUGAGCCAGUCUCUCUCUCUCAGUCCUAGGAAGAAGAAGGCAAUGGCAAAUCACUUCUGAAAAACCUUGCCAAGAAAAUUGCACUGUUAGGGCCUUAGGCUUGAUUGCAGAAC